rnacentral:rRNA from 1 species
ACUCCCCUGACUUUACUUUUACCCUCACAAUCUGUUUAUCAUGUUUUUUAAUUCUAAUCAACUCGAAGAACCUUACCAGGUCUUGACAUCCCAUUGACCGGUCGUUAAUCCGACCUUCUCUUUUGAGCAAUGGAGACAGGUGGUGCAUGGUUGUCGUCAGCUCGUGUCGUGAGAUGUUUGGUUAAGUCCAGCAACGAGCGCAACCCCUAUCUUUAGUAGCCAUCAGGUAAAGCUGGGCACUCUAGAGAGACUGCCAGGGAUAACCUGGAGGAAGGCGGGGACGACGUCAAAUCAUCAUGCCCCUUAUGAUCUGGGCUACACACGUGCUACAAUGGUGACUACAAAGGGAAGCGAAAUCGCAAGAUGGAGCAAACCCCAUAAAGGUCAUCUCAGUUCGGAUUGUAGUCUGCAACUCGACUACAUGAAGCUGGAAUCGCUAGUAAUCGUGGAUCAGAAUGCCACGGUGAAUACGUUCCCGGGUCUUGUACACACCGCCCGU